rnacentral:rRNA from 1 species
GCGGCGGACGGGUGAGUAACGCGUGGGUAACCUGCCCCUCAGCCCGGGAUAACCGUCGGAAACGAUGGCUAAUACCGGAUGCUGUAUACAUAUCGCAUGAUGUGUAUACGAAAGUUCAGGCGCUGAGGGAUGGGCCCGCGUCCCAUUAGCUAGUUGGUGAGGUAACGGCUCACCAAGGCGACGAUGGGUAGCCGGCCUGAGAGGGUGACCGGCCACACUGGGACUGAGACACGGCCCAGACUCCUACGGGAGGCAGCAGUCGGGGAUCUUCCAUAAUGGGCGAAAGCCUGAUGGAGCGACGCCGCGUGAGGGAUGAAGGUCUUCGGAUCGUAAACCUCUGUCUUCCGGGACGACAAUGACGGUACCGGAGGAGGAAGCCACGGCUAACUACGUGCCAGCAGCCGCGGUAAUACGUAGGUGGCGAGCGUUGUCCGGAAUUACUGGGCGUAAAGGGUGCGUAGGCGGUGCCUUAAGUCCUGUGUGAAAUCUAUCG